rnacentral:rRNA from 2 species
GUAGUGGCAAGCGUUGUCCGGAUUUAUUGGGCGUAAAGCGAGCGCAGGCGGUUUUUUAGGUCUGAUGUGAAAGCCUUCGGCUUAACCGGAGAAGUGCAUCGGAAACCGGGAGACUUGAGUGCAGAAGAGGACAGUGGAACUCCAUGUGUAGCGGUGAAAUGCGUAGAUAUAUGGAAGAACACCAGUGGCGAAGGCGGCUGUCUGGUCUGCAACUGACGCUGAGGCUCGAAAGCAUGGGUAGCGAACAGGAUUAGAUACCCUGGUAGUCCAUGCCGUAAACGAUGAGUGCUAAGUGUUGGAGGGUUUCCGCCCUUCAGUGCUGCAGCUAACGCAUUAAGCACUCCGCCUGGGGAGUACGACCGCAAGGUUGAAACUCAAAGGAAUUGACGGGGGCCCGCACAAGCGGUGGAGCAUGUGGUUUAAUUCGAUGCUACGCGAAGAACCUUACCAGGUCUUGACAUCUUCUGCUAACCUAAGAGAUUAGGCGUUCCCUUCGGGGACGGAAUGACAGGUGGUGCAUGGUUGUCGUCAGCUCGUGUCGUGAGAUGUUGGGUUAAGUCCCGCAACGAGCGCAACCCUUAUUGUCAGUUGCCAGCAUUUAGUUGGGCACUCUGGCGAGACUGCCGGUGACAAACCGGAGGAAGGUGGGGAUGACGUCAAAUCAUCAUGCCCCUUAUGACCUGGGCUACACACGUGCUACAAUGGACGGUACAACGAGUCGCGAAACCGNGAGGUCAAGCUAAUCUCUUAAAGCCGUUCUCAGUUCGGAUUGUAGGCUGCAACUCGCCUACAUGAAGUUGGAAUCGCUAGUAAUCGUGGAU